UACGUAGGGUGCAAGCGUUAUCCGGAAUUAUUGGGCGUAAAGAGCUCGUAGGCGGUUUGUCGCGUCUGCUGUGAAAACCGGAGGCUCAACCUCCGGCCUGCAGUGGGUACGGGCAGACUAGAGUGCGGUAGGGGAGAUUGGAAUUCCUGGUGUAGCGGUGGAAUGCGCAGAUAUCAGGAGGAACACCGAUGGCGAAGGCAGAUCUCUGGGCCGUAACUGACGCUGAGGAGCGAAAGCGUGGGGAGCAAACAGG
rnacentral:rRNA from 1 species